rnacentral:tRNA from 1 species
GGCUGGUAGCCCAGCUGGUUAAGGCACCCGGAAGCACUAACGUGCUGCAAGGGAGAUCAGGGGUUCGAAUCCCCUCCAGGCGA